UUAAACAAAAAAUAUUAGAUAAUUUGCUCGAACGUCUUAAAUUUUUGCGAUUUUAUCAGUCCUGGCAACAUCAAUGCUUCUAACAUGAAUUUUCAUUAAUUGAAGGAAUACGUUAUAGAAUACAAAGAAGUUCGACAAAAUUAAAAUGACGUCAUUUUCUGAAAGAAAAAAAAGACGCAAAGGAACAAUUUGCUAUUCGAACGAGAAAUAUGUCGGUCAAAAUAGCGAUUUUGUAUCAGGAGAACAUGAUAACAUAAAAGAUAACACAAUUUUAAUGAUUCUUGAAAACGACGUCAUACUCUAAGAAUUUGUAGAAAUUUUCAGCUCCUGGAAAAUACUUUCGACCGAUUUUGUGAUUUUAUAUCACGAGAAUAUGAUACCAUAGGAAGCGGCACGAUUUCGGCGAUACGAAAAGUCAGCAUUUAAAA